rnacentral:tRNA from 1 species
GUCGGGAUAGUUCAGUUGGUAGAGCAGAGGACUGAAAAUCCUCGUGU